CCUACGGUAGCAGCAGUGGGGAAUAUUGGACAAUGGGCGAAAGCCUGAUCCAGCCAUGCCGCGUGUGUGAAGAAGGCCUUCGGGUUGUAAAGCACUUUCAGUGGGGAAGAAAGCCUUGGGGCUAAUACCCUCGAGGAAGGACAUCACCCACAGAAGAAGCACCGGCUAACUCCGUGCCAGCAGCCGCGGUAAUACGGAGGGUGCGAGCGUUAAUCGGAAUUACUGGGCGUAAAGCGCGCGUAGGCGGUCUGAUAAGCCGGUUGUGAAAGCCCCGGGCUCAACCUGGGAACGGCAUCCGGAACUGUCAGGCUAGAGUGCAGGAGAGGAAGGUAGAAUUCCCGGUGUAGCGGUGAAAUGCGUAGAGAUCUGGAGGAAUACCAGUGGCGAAGGCGGCCUUCUGGACUGACACUGACGCUGAGGUGCGAAAGCGUGGGUAGCAAACAGGAUUAGAUACCCGAGUAGUC
rnacentral:rRNA from 1 species